rnacentral:rRNA from 1 species
AACGAACGCUGGCGGCAUGCCUAACACAUGCAAGUCGAACGAGACCUUCGGGUCUAGUGGCGCACGGGUGCGUAACGCGUGGGAACCUGCCCUUAGGUUAGGAAUAACUCCCCGAAAGGGGUGCUAAUACAGGAUAAUGUAAUAGGACAAAAGAUUUAUCGCCUUUGGAUGGGCCCGGGUUGGAUUAGCUGGUUGGUAGGGUAAAAGCCUACCAAGGCGACGAUCCAUAGCUGGUCUGAGAGGAUGAUCAGCUACACUGGGACUGAGACACGGCCCAGACUCGGACGGGGAGCAGCAGUGGGGUAUAUUGGACAAUGGGCGAUAGCCUGAUCCAGCAAUGCCGGGUGAGUGAUGAAGGCCUUAGGGUUGUAAAGCUCUUUUACCCGGGAUGAUAAUGACAGUACUGGGAGAAUAAGCUCCGGCUAACUCCGUG